rnacentral:rRNA from 1 species
AUAGGGUCAAGUGAAUAAGUGCAUCAGGCGGAUGCCUUGGCGAUGAUAGGCGACGAAGGACGUGUAAGCCUGCGAAAAGCGCGGGGGAGCUGGCAAUAAAGCUAUGAUUCCGCGAUGUCCGAAUGGGGAAACCCACUGCAUUCUGUGCAGUAUCCUAAGUUGAAUACAUAGGCUUAGAGAAGCGAACCCGGAGAACUGAACCAUCUAAGUACCCGGAGGAAAAGAAAUCAACCGAGAUUCCGCAAGUAGUGGCGAGCGAACGCGGAGGAGCCUGUACGUAAUAACUGUCGAGAUAGAAGAACAAGCUGGGAAGCUUGACCAUAGCGGGCGACAGUCCCGUAUUCGAAAUCUCAACAGCGGUACUAAGCGUACGAAAAGUAGGGCGGGACACGUGAAAUCCUGUCUGAAUAUGGGGGGACCAUCCUCCAAGGCUAAAUACUCAUCAUCGACCGAUAGUGAACCAGUACCGUGAGGGAAAGGCGAAAAGAACCCCGGGAGGGGAGUGAAACAGAACCUGAAACCUGAUGCAUACAAACAGUGGGAGCGCCCUAGUGGUGUGACUGCGUACCUUUUGUAUAAUGGGUCAACGACUUACAUUCAGUAGCGAGCUUAACCGGAUAGGGGAGGCGUAGGGAAACCGAGUCUUAAUAGGGCGAUGAGUUGCUGGGUGUAGACCCGAAACCGAGUGAUCUAUCCAUGGCCAGGUUGAAGGUGCCGUAACAGGUACUGGAGGACCGAACCCACGCAUGUUGCAAAAUGCGGGGAUGAGCUGUGGGUAGGGGUGAAAGGCUAAACAAACUCGGAGAUAGCUGGUUCUCCCCGAAAACUAUUUAGGUAGUGCCUCGAGCAAGACACUGAUGGGGGUAAAGCACUGUUAUGGCUAGGGGGUUAUUGCAACUUACCAACCCAUGGCAAACUCAGAAUACCAUCAAGUGCCUCGGGAGACAGACAGCGGGUGCUAACGUCCGUUGUCAAGAGGGAAACAACCCAGACCGCCGGCUAAGGUCCCAAAUGAUAGAUUAAGUGGUAAACGAAGUGGGAAGGCACAGACAGCCAGGAUGUUGGCUUAGAAGCAGCCAUCAUUUAAAGAAAGCGUAAUAGCUCACUGGUCGAGUCGUCCUGCGCGGAAGAUGUAACGGGGCUCAAAUCUAUAACCGAAGCUGCGGAUGCCGGUUUACCGGCAUGGUAGGGGAGCGUUCUGUAGGCUGAUGAAGGUGCAUUGUAAAGUGUGCUGGAGGUAUCAGAAGUGCGAAUGUUGACAUGAGUAGCGAUAAAGCGGGUGAAAAGCCCGCUCGCCGAAAAGCCCAAGGUUUCCUACGCAACGUUCAUCGGCGUAGGGUAAGUCAGCCCCUAAGGCGAGGCAGAAAUGCGUAGUCGAUGGGAAACAGGUUAAUAUUCCUGUACUUGAUUCAAAUGCGAUGUGGGGACGGAGAAGGUUAGGUUGGCAAGCUGUUGGAAUAGCUUGUUUAAGCCGGUAGGUGGAAGACUUAGGCAAAUCCGGGUUUUCUUAACACCGAGAAGUGAUGACGAGUGUCUACGGACACGAAGCAACCGAUACCACGCUUCCAGGAAAAGCCACUAAGCUUCAGUUUGAAUCGAACCGUACCGCAAACCGACACAGGUGGGCAGGAUGAGAAUUCUAAGGCGCUUGAGAGAACUCGGGAGAAGGAACUCGGCAAAUUGAUACCGUAACUUCGGGAGAAGGUAUGCCCUCUAAGGUUAAGGACUUGCUCCGUAAGCCCCGGAGGGUCGCAGAGAAUAGGUGGCUGCGACUGUUUAUUAAAAACACAGCACUCUGCCAACACGAAAGUGGACGUAUAGGGUGUGACGCCUGCCCGGUGCCGGAAGGUUAAUUGAAGAUGUGCAAGCAUCGGAUCGAAGCCCCGGUAAACGGCGGCCGUAACUAUAACGGUCCUAAGGUAGCGAAAUUCCUUGUCGGGUAAGUUCCGACCCGCACGAAUGGCGUAACGAUGGCCACACUGUCUCCUCCCGAGACUCAGCGAAGUUGAAGUGGUUGUGAAGAUGCAAUCUACCCGCUGCUAGACGGAAAGACCCCGUGAACCUUUACUGUAGCUUUGCAUUGGACUUUGAAGUCACUUGUGUAGGAUAGGUGGGAGGCUUGGAAGCAGAGACGCCAGUCUCUGUGGAGUCGUCCUUGAAAUACCACCCUGGUGUCUUUGAGGUUCUAACCCAGACCCGUCAUCCGGGUCGGGGACCGUGCAUGGUAGGCAGUUUGACUGGGGCGGUCUCCUCCCAAAGCGUAACGGAGGAGUUCGAAGGUUACCUAGGUCCGGUCGGAAAUCGGACUGAUAGUGCAAUGGCAAAAGGUAGCUUAACUGCGAGACCGACAAGUCGGGCAGGUGCGAAAGCAGGACAUAGUGAUCCGGUGGUUCUGUAUGGAAGGGCCAUCGCUCAACGGAUAAAAGGUACUCCGGGGAUAACAGGCUGAUUCCGCCCAAGAGUUCAUAUCGACGGCGGAGUUUGGCACCUCGAUGUCGGCUCAUCACAUCCUGGGGCUGUAGUCGGUCCCAAGGGUAUGGCUGUUCGCCAUUUAAAGUGGUACGUGAGCUGGGUUUAAAACGUCGUGAGACAGUUUGGUCCCUAUCUGCAGUGGGCGUUGGAAGUUUGACGGGGGCUGCUCCUAGUACGAGAGGACCGGAGUGGACGAACCUCUGGUGUACCGGUUGUAACGCCAGUUGCAUAGCCGGGUAGCUAAGUUCGGAAGAGAUAAGCGCUGAAAGCAUCUAAGCGCGAAACUCGCCUGAAGAUGAGACUUCCCUUGCGGUUUAACCGCACUAAAGGGUCGUUCGAGACCAGGACGUUGAUAGGUGGGGUGUGGAAGCGCGGUAACGCGUGAAGCUAACCCAUACUAAUUGCCCGUGAGGCUUGACUCUAU